rnacentral:rRNA from 1 species
AUUGAACGCUGGCGGCAUGCCUAACACAUGCAAGUAGAACGAGUGGCGGACGGGUGAGUAAUGUAUGGGAAACUGCCCGAUGGAGGGGGAUAACUAAUGGAAAGGGUGGCUAAUCCCGCAUACCAUCAGAGGUGCCAAGAUGGGAUUAGCUCGUUGGUGGGGUAAAGGCUCACCAAGGCAACGAUCCCUAGCGGGUCUGAGAGGAUGACCAGCCACACUGGAACUGAGACACGGCCCGGACUCCUCCGGGAGGCAGCAGUGGGGAACUUUGCACAAUGGGGGCAAUCCUGAUGCAGCCAUCCCGCGGGUAUGAGGAAGGCCUUCGGGUUGUAAAGUACUUUCGGCGGUGAGGCGUUACCCGCAGAAAAAGCACCGGCUAACUCCGUGCCAGCAGCCGCGGUAAUUC